rnacentral:misc_RNA from 1 species
GCUGUCACCUGUGCUCUCAAG